CUCUUAGAUGUCCUGGGCUGCACGCGCGCUACACUGGAAGUUACGGAUUGAGAUACUACCUUGUCCGAAAUGGUCCGGGUAAUCACCUAAAAGCUUGUCAUAAUUGGAAUGGAUUAUUGUAACUAGUAAUCCUGAACGAGGAAUUCCUAGUAAGUCCCAGUCAACAGCUGGUACUGAUUACGUCCCUGCCCUUUGUACACACCGCCCGUCGCUACUACUGAUUGGACGUUUAAGCAAGAUUUUUAAACACUGACAGUGUGUAGUUCACGCUAUACUACAGUGAGAAGAAGAAGAUCGAGCUUACUUGUCUAGAGGAAGUAAAAGUCGUAACA
rnacentral:rRNA from 1 species